UUUGUGAAUGUUGUGGAUAAAAAGAUUACAAAUACCUGUUUUUCUGAUCCUUAUCGUACUUAGUCAACCUGUAGUCAAAGUACAAAAUAACAACAAUUAAAAUGAAAACAGUAUGCCCACUACUUUUCUUUUACUUAACACUGGUUUAAAUGAAACAAUAUAGCCAAAAAAGAGAAUACUUAAGUGAAAACAAUACACAUACUAUUUAUAUGCAAUGUUCAGCCCCUUUAGCUCAAAAGAAGGAAUAGAAGAAUGUUAUUAUUCGUAUUAGAAGGAGGACUCCAUUCAGUUCUAUGAGUGGUUGACUUCAGGACUUCUCAGUCUUCCUCACAGGACUCAGGGGAUAGGGAGUGAAAGAGAAGCCAAGACAGAUGAUUGUCUGAGCAAUUAGCAGUGGUGUCCUAACACCAGCCUGUGUUUGACACGAAGUUCAAGUGUUUCUGUUCUCUCUCCCCAAGACGCUAAUUCCUCACUUUGAGGUUCCUAGGUUUUCUGUGUGAAGAGAGAUGAAAAGCAGAAGCUGAUUAAGGGCAGAAGUUGCUUGUUCAAGAGGAAAACAUUCCUACUAAUUCACCAUUCUUGAAAGACCAGCUAAAACUUUUUGACUGAGAAUCUAACCUUUCAAGCAUACUAUUUUUAAAGUGCAAGAUAUUUUUAGAAGUCAUUCCCCAAGCAUAUGACCUGCUGAUAUACAUCAGAAGAGUCUAAGGAUUUAUUGGACAGUAAUAAAUGAUCUUUACCUAGCAAUAGCUAGCCCUCUCAAGUUCCUGGAGUUCCUUAGGGACUUACUCUAUCCUCAACCACCUCCCAACUUAAACGCAUAUAAUCACCACCCCUCACAACCCCAGCACAGCUCUUUCUCCACACAAGUCUUGUGCCUGUGCUUUAA